CGCUGGCGGCGUGCCUAACACAUGCAAGUCGAGCGAGGAGAUUCCUUCGGGAUGAUCCUAGCGGCGGACGGGUGAGUAACACGUGGGCAACCUGCCUCAUAGAGAGGAAUAGCCUUCCGAAAGGGAGAUUAAUACCUCAUAACAUUGCAGUUUCGCGUGGAACAGCAAUUAAAGGAGCAAUCCGCUAUGAGAUGGGCCCGCGGCGCAUUAGCUAGUUGGUGAGGUAACGGCUCACCAAGGCGACGAUGCGUAGCCGACCUGAGAGGGUGAUCGGCCACAUUGGGACUGAGACACGGCCCAGACUCCUACGGGAGGCAGCAGUGGGGAAUAUUGCACAAUGGGGGAAACCCUGAUGCAAGCAACGCCGCGUGAGUGAUGACGGCCUUCGGGUUGUAAAGCUCUGUCUUCAGGGACGAUAAUGACGGUACCUGAGGAGGAAGCCACGGCUAACUACGUGCCAGCCGCAGC
rnacentral:rRNA from 1 species